GUCAUCAUCUCUCAUGGAGUGGACAUCAGCAUCACAGAUGGCGCUGGAUUUAAUGCUCUUCAUCUUGCUGCCAAGAAUGGACAACCUGAGUGUCUUAAAAGGCUUUUGCAGGAGAGAAUGGCAGUUGAUUCCACUGACACCAUUGGGAGGACUGCCCUUCACCAUGCAGCUAUCAGUGG